rnacentral:misc_RNA from 1 species
UUGAAACAUUGUAGAGGGGAGCUGAGCUGGCCCUUCAAGGGCAAGUGCUUGCUUUCCUUUCAAUCUUCAUCCACCUGUGCACCUUUUGUAGAGAGUUCAAGAAAAGCUUGGGGCCUUUUAAGUCAGGUCUCAUAAGUAUUCGGCUCUUUAUGUCUUUAUACACACUGAAUGUAUGUCUUUGAAUGUCUUUUAAUAAGGGACUUGGUUGGACCUUUUAAAAACUAUA